CGGAGGGUGCAAGCGUUGUUCGGAUUUAUUGGGCGUAAAGCGCGUGUAGGCGGUUUCUUAAGUCUGAUGUGAAAGCCCUGGGCUCAACCCAGGAAGUGCAUUGGAUACUGGGAGACUUGAAUACGGGAGAGGGCAGUGGAAUUCCUAGUGUAGGAGUGAAAUCCGUAGAUAUUAGGAGGAACACCGGUGGCGAAGGCGGCUGCCUGGACCGAUAUUGACGCUGAGACGCGAAAGCGUGGGGAGCAAACAGGAUUAGAUACCCUGGUAGUCCACGCCGUAAACGAUGAGAACUAGGUGUUGCGGGUAUUGACCCCUGCAGUGCCGCAGCUAACGCAUUAAGUUCUCCGCCUGGGAAGUACGGUCGCAAGACUA
rnacentral:rRNA from 1 species